rnacentral:rRNA from 1 species
GAUGAACGCUGGCGGCGUGCUUAACACAUGCAAGUCGAACGGUGAAGGCGGAGCUUGCUCUGCUGGAUCAGUGGCGAACGGGUGAGUAACACGUGAGCAAUCUGCCCCUGACUCUGGGAUAAGCGCUGGAAACGGCGUCUAAUACUGGAUACGAGCUGCGAAGGCAUCUUCAGCAGCUGGAAAGAACUUCGGUCAGGGAUGAGCUCGCGGCCUAUCAGCUUGUUGGUGAGGUAACGGCUCACCAAGGCGUCGACGGGUAGCCGGCCUGAGAGGGUGACCGGCCACACUGGGACUUAGACACGGCCCAGACUCCUACGGGAGGCAGCAGUGGGGAAUAUUGCACAAUGGGCGAAAGCCUGAUGCAGCAACGCCGCGUGAGGGACGACGGCCUUCGGGUUGUAAACCUCUUUUAGCAGGGAAGAAGCGAAAGUGACGGUACCUGCAGAAAAAGCGCCGGCUAACUACGUG